AGUUACAAAUUACUUAGUAGAUUGCUUCCAUUAUCGGGAAGACAUUUACACAGAAGCAUAGAAGCUUAGUUAACAUUCACACUUUCGGUGAAUGUACAGUGUGGGGAUUUUUCAUUGGGUUUACUGUUUUGUUUCGGUUUUGGUGUAUUAAAUGUUCAGACAUAAUUAUUUUGACUUUUCGUUUAUUUUAUAAAUGGGGAAUACGAACUGCCUCAUUCCCAUUAAGCACAAUUUUAAACUUACUGGUGU